AUUAAUUAACAUCCUACAUAGAUAAUCCUACAUUUAAAUUUAGCAGAUGACGGACGGUCUAUCCAGUUUCCAAUAGUUUAUUGGUACCUGAAGUUCUAAGUUUGAACCUUCAUGCAGGUUUCUACAAGAAAACUAUGAUUUUUGCAUUGUAGACCCAUUCUCUAGUAUAUACCUUUUGCUGGAUCACCUUCAAAUUCAGCAAAUUCUACUUGGUUUGCAAGAUUUCGGCGCUCAAUGCAGCUGCAGACUCCGCGCAUCGCAUUUUUUAAAGGUCAUUUGGUUUUCUAAAUCCAUAAGCUUCGUAUACUUUUCUUUUCUCAUAUAGGUCAUUGCAGAUUUUUGUGCUUGUUAAUUUGCUGUAUUAAUUAACAUCCUACAUAGAUAAUCCUACAUUUAAAUUUAGAAUAUGACGGACGGUCUAUCCAGUUUCCAAUAGUUUAUUGGUACCUGAAGUUCUAAGUUUGAAAUCUAGUUGUUUCAUAAUUCUAGUUAAGUUUUUAUCUUAAACAAAAAACGAAGCGGUUAACAUACUAUCUCUCUUCCUUAAAAGGAAAAAAAAAAGUCAUGAGCCAUCUUAACUAAAUUUUAG
rnacentral:lncRNA from 1 species